rnacentral:rRNA from 1 species
UGGGGAAUUUUGGACAAUGGGCGAAAGCCUGAUCCAGCAAUGCCGCGUGUGUGAAGAAGGCCUUCGGGUUGUAAAGCACUUUUGUCCGGAAAGAAAUCCUUGGCUCUAAUACAGUCGGGGGAUGACGGUACCGGAAGAAUAAGCACCGGCUAACUACGUGCCAGCAGCCGCGGUAAUACGUAGGGUGCAAGCGUUAAUCGGAAUUACUGGGCGUAAAGCGUGCGCAGGCGGUUUUGCUAAGACCGAUGUGAAAUCCCCGGGCUCAACCUGGGAACUGCAUUGGUGACUGGCAGGCUAGAGUAUGGCAGAGGGGGGUAGAAUUCCACGUGUAGCAGUGAAAUGCGUAGAGAUGUGGAGGAAUACCGAUGGCGAAGGCAGCCCCCUGGGCCAAUACUGACGCUCAUGCACGAAAAGCGUGGGGAGCAAAACAGGAUUAGAUACCCUGGUAGUCCAGCGCCCUAAAAGCGAUGUCAACUAGUUGUUGGGGAUUGCAUUUCCUUAGUAACGUAAGCUAACGCGUGAAGUUGACCGCCU